rnacentral:lncRNA from 1 species
AUCGGCUCCUCACGGGUGCUAGCUCAUUGUACAGUCUUUUCGACGGUCGAUGCUGAUCGAACUCCUUCGAUCGAUGUCUGUUGAUUCUUUGGAUGCUCUGCAUCAUUAGCAGAUAUACUUGAGAGGAUGUUGAAGAUCUUCCUAAAAUUUGGUGGGCUCACGACACUCGUAGCUCACCUUCUCACUUCCCGAACCCCAGGCUGAAACCCUAGGGAACACACUGGAAACCCUGC